AUGGGAAGACAACCAUAACAACAUGAACUGAAUUAAUCAGUGCGCACGACUAGUUAAAAACAAACAUCCUUUGACAAGAAGUUUCUAAUUAAAUCAUGGCUGCGUCUGGGCAGCAUUAUUAUGAGAAUGAAGGUGGAUGUGCUGCUACUUCCCACUCCCCUUGAUGAGCAACAAGCACCUGCAUUGAGUAAUGCAAGAGUGAGAUGAAACAUCUCAGCAAGCUAAUUGUUCUGACGAGAUAUUUAAACCACAAAUUGAAUUCAUCAACAUUUUAAAAGAGUCACAAUUAAAAAUCAGAAAUGCUUGUAGAUAUAGAACUCAGUAGUCCCACUAUAACCAAUACCAUCUCAUUUCCUCGAACAACCACAAUAGGUUCUAUAACACUUCCCUGCGUCAACAAUACCUGCAAAUAUCACUUCAAUGUAUGCAUAGGAAUGCAAUGUGUAGGUACUCUAUCUUCAUACCUCUGGGGGUAUAAAACCACAUCAUCUGCAAAUAUCACUUCAAUGAAUGCAUAUGAAUGCAAUGCAUAUGUCCUCUGCCUUCAUACCUCUAAGGGUAUGAAGUCGCAUCGUACCCCUUCUCGGGCAACGUACGAUGCUAAGUUGUACCGGUACGGUCGGACCAUAGGUCACGACAAAACUUCAUAUGCAAAUGAGUCAUGCAAUGUAUAUGGCAUGCUACAUUUAUCAAUAAACUUCACUUCCUUCAGAUACAACACAAACCUCAAAUAAUACUUCAUUUACCUUCAGAUACAAUACCAACCUCAAAUAAUACUUCAUUUACCUUCAAGGGUGUGAAUUAAUCUCAUGAGUCAUACUCAAAUCAUAAUCAUCAUCAAUAUAUGAUUGAGCAUCAGUAUAAUGCAAGCAAGUAAAGCAUCACCAUAGAGUCCAAUUAUGAAAGAAUCUGAUACUUCUGAAUAUUAGAGUGUAGGCGAUAGAAAUAACAGGUCAGAACGGAAGCAACCACCGCUACAUUCACUUGCCUUCAUCAAAGAAGAAGAAAUGUACUAGACAUGAUCUGGAGUGUAGCCACCUAGGGUUUCCCCAAGAAAUCUUCAAGAGGAGAUGGGGAAGAACAUCUCCUUGAUCCUCUCUUCCUCUUCAAUUCAACGUGCCCCUCCUUUUCUCGAUCCUUGCUGCGUAGGGGGAGAUCUUGGGGGAGGAAGCAAUGGAGGAUGGCUACCAUAGGGGGAGGGGGCGUCCAGCCAAGGGGGAGAAAAAGGGGGUGG
rnacentral:lncRNA from 1 species